rnacentral:rRNA from 1 species
UACGGGGGGGGGCAAGCGUUGUUCGGAAUUACUGGGCGUAAAGGGCUCGUAGGCGGCCAACUAAGUCAGACGUGAAAUCCCUCGGCUUAACCGGGGAACUGCGUCUGAUACUGGAUGGCUUGAGUUUGGGGAGAGGGAUGCGGAAUUCCAGGUGUAGCGGUGAAAUGCGUAGAUAUCUGGAGGAACACCGGUGGCGAAGGCGGCGAUCCUGGACCAACACUGACGCUGAGUGAGCGAAAGCCAGGGGAGCAAACGGG